UUAGAUACUUUUGGCAAAACAAACCCCUCAGCCAAAAAGCCUUGCAUGUCAAAGAGUCGGUGGAGUAGUUACCACCUAACGGGUAAGCCUUGUUGAGUAUUAGUAUACUCAGUCUUGCUUGUGGAUUCGUUUUUAGGUGUGGUUGCUGGUGUUGACUUGUUUGGGACCCGUCCUCGGUCGGCGAGGAUCGUGGUGCUUGAUAUCAUGGCAGGCUUCACCAUGGUAUUUUGUAUCGACAUUAGACUAUCAUUUACUUUUCCGUUGCUUUUGAAAUUUGAACUCUACCUUUAUGCUUUUGAACUCUUGGGUUGUAAUAAAUGAAGUUGGGACCUGUAUUAAUCAACUUGGAUUGUUGUAAUAUCUGGACUUGCCUUUGUGUGAGUAUACUUUGUUUUGAUUCGAGAGAAGUGGUUUUAUCAGGUGAAACCCGACGGACCGCCAUUUUAACUUGAUUAAAGUGUCGGUUCGCAUAUAAGGCAAUGUUGAGUACACUUUAGCCGGGUUAAUCUAGGUGGUUUCUCCACAAUAAGGCCUGGGCAUGCUCAUGCACGGCGGAUGUGGAGGCGGUUGCACGGCAAACUCAGAGGCGAAUCCGAGUUCAUUGCGCGUGGUGGCUGGAGUUAGGGGAUGACGGGCAGGGCCUGACUGCCAGCGGGAGAGAUGCGGAGGUGUAGGAGUGGGCUGGCGCAAGGAGAUGGGCCGAGCUAGAGAUGGGCCGGCACGACGGCACGCUAAGGCGGGAGCUGGCGGUUGUUGGGCUGAAAGGAGAACGGGAGCGGGCUGAAGAACAAAAGAGAGAAGGAAAAAGAAAAAGGUUUGGAAAAAAAAUAAAACAAACACAAAUCCAAAACUGAAUUCAAACACAAAUUUGAAUUCAAACAAUAAAAAACAAUGCACUAGCAUGAAUGCAACAAUGAACUCCUAUGUUUCAAUAAUUUAUUUUGAAAAAAAUUUAAUUACCUAAGAAAUUUAAAUGCAACCUUAAAAUCCUUAGACACAUGCACUUUAUUUCUAGCAAAUUUUAUUAAAUUGCAAAAUUUGAAAUUUAGGGUGUUACAAAUGUACAGGGCGAUCAACAAUGCAGUGCACCUUCACACAACUCACGCCUCACAGGAUUAUAGUAUCCAUGAAAAUAUGUGGGAUGCUCAGAAUACGCAGGCCUACACUAAUCAGGAAUCCUACCAUAAGUAUAGGGGGCAAUAUGUAGGCUUUCGUUCAUGGGUAGGCAUGCAAAAUAUUCAGCAGGUACGCGAGUGCGCUUUGGUCAUGUUAAAAAGAAGGAAAAUCCUGACAUCCACAUGGGUUAAAUAAAACAGAUGCGUAUGCAUUAUAGUUGGAGAAAGCAGAUGUUCCCCUUUGUGAUCAUCUACUGAAACGCACCCAGGUUCACUAAAGUGUGGGCCUCUUCUAGAUAUUCGUCUCUCACCUAUGUUGUAAGCAAGAUGAAAUGCACACAGCUUCACUGACAUAUGGGUCUGAUAAGAGCGCACAUUCUUGCCAAUGACCCCGCAGCAAGUCCAACUUACCAAACUUUCAUUUCGCACCUAGGAACUUGAAAGCGGGAUUUUCAAAUCUAUAUUCCCUCACCUUCCCCCAAAUAAUAAAAACAUGGCCAUAGUGCCCCUACAAACUCCCACCUUGUAUUUCCAAUAUCAGCACUCUCCUCUCUAGUGGUUGUAAAGUCCAACUAGAUCUGUGGUGUCAGCUGACCUCGGUGGUCACGGGGUACCUUAGCAGCGGUGGCAAGCUACCUGGGCAGCAGGCAUCAAGGUGCGGCAUGGUCGGCAGCACUCUUGGAGGAAUAUCUCAGCAUCCUUGCAAUGGCUGCGCCCAUGCUGGCGCAACUGGGCAGUUGAGCAAGGAUGUCGCGCAAGCACUGGCUGCCCCGUCCAACCAUGCGCCACUGCAUCUUCGAGCUCCACAAGCUGAAUUAAGGAAAACAAUCCUUGAGGUUGCAGUACCAAAUUCUGGUCCUCAUGAUUUGUAGUCAAGUCCCUUUCUUGAUUAUGUGGCCAUGCAGCUAGCCUCAGCUACAAGCUCAAGAUUUGAAGUUUCUUUGGGAGGGUUACAAGAAACUGCAGAACUAAGACAAUAAGUUGUUGAACAAAAGCAAAUAUUGAGCAACUUGAAGAUGAAGGCACAAGUUUUAGAUGCAGCAAUGAAAAUGCAGUCUGAGAAGAUUGAGAGUUUGAAGAAAGUAGUAAGAGAAACUGAGUACCUCCUUCAUCAAUUGCUAAACUUCAGAGGGUAAGGUCAAUGUGUUUCUUACGCAUCUGCCCAUGUCUUGUGCUGAUUUGUCAGUAUUGUGGUUUGUGCUCAAUGUGUUUCUAGGCCAUCUUUGUUCUUGGUCAGAGAGAUAUCAUGUGUAGUGGUUUGUGAUUUCUUAUGGAUAAUAUACUUGUGCUUGUUCUUUGGUCAUGAAUAAUAAUGUGUGAAGUGUGAUGAGAAACAUUUA